CUCAUUCUCUACUGAUGACCUCUGAAAUCAAAAUCCAGCUCUUCACUCGUGUUCCUCUUUCCCUGGUGGCACCUUCUGCAGCUGUUGUGAUGUGAGAAGCACGGCUGAGCUUUCAGCAAACCAUGGAGCUUCAGCAAGUUGAGUGUAGCAGUCUGGAGGGAUCAGAGGACGAAUCCUGGUCCUGUCCUGCUCAAGGAGAACUGGCCAGCAGAGUGGGAAAAUGGAUCCUCCUGCAGAGAAGCCGCUGUGCAUUCUCAGCUCAGAGAGGUUUCUGCAGCAUUCUGCAGCAGAAGGCACUGGCAGAGAGCUAAAGUAGGUGGGGAGUGUAGCAGGUGAUUUGGAGCAUUCCUGGAAAAGCCAAGUGCAGGUCACAGACAAGCCUUGGAAGUGAGGGUAGAGGGCACUUUGCAGGUACAGUAAUCAAGAAAGAACAGAGCUUACAGCAAAGAGCUUGCAGGAAACUAAGGAGCCAUGGAAAUGUGGAGGACUAGAAAGGAUGACUGAGGCCCAGGCUUCAUCCAGCAAUGAUUUAACUGGAGAGUAGAUCUGUAAAACGUUCUUUUACUUGAAGCUGGUUUUCCAACCUCAAGGUUUCUCUGCUCAGGAAUUGUAGCCUGUUUUAAUCUAUUUUCAAAAAACAUUCAAUUCUGUAUUUUUGCAGUGUAGUGUGUUUACAUUAAAAGAAAGCAGAUUCAUCUCCUAGCCUUGGCUAAAUGACACUUUGUGGAAAGUGUCAUUUGAAGCAGGGCCUAUUAUUUGAAGGAUUUGAGUAAUGAUUUUCCAUUGUAUAAAUCAAAGUAACUCUAAAGUCUGAACAGCCCAAACAGAUACAGAAAGCCCCUGGGUGAUGACUGAAGAUUAGCUUUGUGUUUUUUUUUUUUAAUUUCUGUGCCAAUACAUCCAAAACUGAGAACAGAUGUGCCAGAGCAAGAAUAGAGACUUUCCUUUUCAAAGCCAGUUUGAGAAAGUUCAUUAUUAAAGACUAACUUUGAGGCUCUUGUCAAUAGUUCCAAAAUUAAAUUUGUCAUAACACUUUAUAUAAUGCUAAUGAUAAGCUAUUUAUUGUGUGGAAAAUGUCAGUUUAUUUCUUACUCUCUUCUUUUGAUCUAAUACUUCCUGACAUGUUGAUGCCUCAGUAUUUAGGUCUCUGCAGUGAUUAUCCAGGGGAAACCCAUGUAGCAGUGGAGAGGGGAGAUGUACAAGGAUGAAGUGCAGCACCUGUGGAACUGGUUGAGGAGUACAGUGGGCCAUGAAAUUAAGAAGCUGUUUAUAAUUUUGAUCUGAUAUCACAGUAGAAUGUUUAUUGCUGAU
rnacentral:lncRNA from 1 species